rnacentral:rRNA from 1 species
AUGAACGCUGGCGGCGUGCCUAAUACAUGCAAGUCGAGCGAACAGACGAGGAGCUUGCUCCUCUGACGUUAGCGGCGGACGGGUGAGUAACACGUGGAUAACCUACCUAUAAGACUGGGAUAACUUCGGGAAACCGGAGCUAAUACCGGAUAAUAUAUUGAACCGCAUGGUUCAAUAGUGAAAGACGGUUUUGCUGUCACUUAUAGAUGGAUCCGCGCCGCAUUAGCUAGUUGGUAAGGUAACGGCUUACCAAGGCGACGAUGCGUAGCCGACCUGAGAGGGUGAUCGGCCACACUGGAACUGAGACACGGUCCAGACUCCUACGGGAGGCAGCAGUAGGGAAUCUUCCGCAAUGGGCGAAAGCCUGACGGAGCAACGCCGCGUGAGUGAUGAAGGUCUUCGGAUCGUAAAACUCUGUUAUUAGAGAAGAACAAAUGUGUAAGUAACUAUGCACGUCUUGACGGUACCUAAUCAGAAAGCCACGGCUAACUACGUG